UACGUAGGGUGCAAGCGUUGUCCGGAAUUAUUGGGCGUAAAGAGCUCGUAGGCGGUCUGUUACGUCGGCCGUGAAAACCUAGGGCUCAACCUGGGCCUGCAGCCGAUACGGGCAGACUAGAAUUCGGUAGGGGAGACUGGAAUUCCUGGUGUAGCGGUGAAAUGCGCAGAUAUCAGGAGGAACACCGGUGGCGAAGGCGGGUCUCUGGACAGUUCCUGACACUGAGACACGAAGGCCAGGGGAGCAAACGGG
rnacentral:rRNA from 1 species